GGGAGGUAGGAGGUAGAAGAGUCAGAGGAGGCUCCCAGAGGCUGUGCCCUUUGCUCUCCUUUGGCACUUCUGAGAAUACCAAAAUUGACUCCUGAGCUUUCAGCACCUGUGGUCCUGCCAGAUUUCAGAGAGUAUGACUAGGAGAGAGACCGGCCUACCUGAAGUCAAGACUAGAAGAUGUCAGCUUUUUCCAAAAGAACCUUUAUAAACCCCCCAGAAGAGUCUCCAGGAAAGUUAAGCUGUGUAACAUUGCUCCUAGAGCGAAGGGGAGAAGACUUGAGGGGAGAGUGAUGAGGGAGAAGCAUCCAGUUUCCUCUGAAACCUCUGGGCUUUUGAAAACACUGUGCCUGGCUAUACAUGAUGCUGUCACGUGUGGAGUUUACAGUUCCAGUAUUAGCAGUGUUAAUGUAAUGAGACGGCCUUCAAAGGAGAACUUGAAGAAUGAAUGUUUUAAAAGGAAGUUCUGAAUGGAGUAACUGUGACAUCUUCAGUGUCCUGCAACUUAUCCACAGAAGCUACAGAAGAUGAACCAGCUCCAGUUUUACUCAAUCCAAGAUUAGAUAUCCCCACUUUCUGUACAUUUUGAGGAAGGUUUAUACUUCAGGAAGGUCACCUCCCAUUUCCUUCUCCCUAUCACCCCUUCUUGUCCUUCUGUUCUCAUGCUGUGUGGCAUCCACGGGACUCUGGUUAUUUGCAGGUAUGCACUGAACUGUGAGAAGGCUCAUUGAUCAGGUGGGCCUGAGUGGGAGCUAAUAGGCUUUGUGAAAACAGUUGGACAACACAUCAGUCUGUCUUCUUGCCUCUGACACCUCUGACACUUCACUGUCUGACCCUGGGCAAGCCCCUUCCCUGUCUGCUCUUCCAUUGGCUUAUCUGUGCACUGAGAUGUGUAACAUCUAGGAAGGUGGAUAACCAAUAAACCCAGCUUUUAUGUACUGUGCUCCUGAUUGCAGUUCCGAAUGGCUGUCACUCAAGUGAGUGCCUUAGACCCUCAGUAGGUAGGCACUUCCACAACCUGCUCCAAGGAAGAGGUCAGGCUUCAGCUAACUUCUUAUUCCUUUCUUCCAA